rnacentral:rRNA from 1 species
AAACGACUCUCGGCAACGGAUAUCUCGGCUCACGCAUCGAUGAAGAACGUAGCAAAAUGCGAUACUUGGUGUGAAUUGCAGAAUCCCGUGAACCAUCGAGUUUUUGAACGCAAGUUGCGCCCUAAGCCAUCCGGUCGAGGGCACGCCUGCCUGGGCGUCACG